GAGCCAGCAGUUCCUCAGGGAAGAGGAGCUGAGGGCACGGCAGUACAGCGCCCUCUUUAGGCUCAGAGAGAAAGCGCUCUGGGAGAAGACGCAAGCUGAGCUUGACUGGUUGGAGCAUUGCAUGAGUCUUGAAAAAGCACAAGAUGAUAUACUUGCUUUGACUGAACUCAGGCAGAAACAGGAGGAAGUAAUUCACAGAUUCCGACAAGACCAGGCAGAGAUCCACCACUGGCGAAACAUGUACAGAUCAGGCCGGCAGCAGAGACGGUUGCUUCUCCUCCAUCAAAGAGAUAUUCUUGAUAUCAAACAGUCAGCUAUUUGCUUCAGACAAGUGCUGCAGAUGCAGACUCUGCCAAAGAAAAAUGGAAUUACCAAGCCGGAGAACACUGCCAGUACUAUGGAGGAAGAGGGUGUUAUGCAGCUUGGGAUUAAGCCAGAUGCUAGAAGCACAGAUAAAGCAC
rnacentral:lncRNA from 1 species